GAGUUUGAUCCUGGCUCAGAUUGAACGCUGGCGGUAUGCUUAACACAUGCAAGUCGAACGGAAACGAUACUAGCUUGCUAGUAGGCGUCGAGUGGCGGACGGGUGAGUAACGCGUAGGAAUCUGCCUGAUAGUGGGGGAUAGCCCGGAGAAAUUCGGAUUGAUACCGCAUAAUCUAUUCGUAGUAAAGUGGGGGACUUUCGAGCCUCACGCUAUCAGAUGAGCCUGCGUAAGAUUAGCUUGUUGGUAGGGUAAAAGCCUACCAAGGCGACGAUCUUUAGCUGGUCUGAGAGGAUGAUCAGCCACAUCGGGACUGAGACACGGCCCGAACUCCUACGGGAGGCAGCAGUGGGGAAUAUUGGACAAUGGGGGCAACCCUGAUCCAGCAAUACCGCGUGUGUGAAGAAGGCCUGAGGGUUGUAAAGCACUUUCAAUUGUGAAGAAAAGUUAACGGUUAAUAACCGUUAGCCUCGACGUUAACUUUAGAAGAAGCACCGGCUAACUCCGUGCCAGCAGCCGCGGUAGUACGGAGGGUGCAAGCGUUAAUCGGAAUUACUGGGCGUAAAGCGUGCGUAGGUGGUUUAUUAAGUCAGAUGUGAAAGCCCCGGGCUUAACCUGGGAACUGCAUUUGAAACUGGUAAACUAGAGUAUGGUAGAGGAAAGUGGAAUUUCUGGUGUAGCGGUGAAAUGCGUAGAUAUCAGAAGGAACAUCAAUGGCGAAGGCAGCUUUCUGGACCAAUACUGACACUGAGGUACGAAAGCGUGGGUAGCAAACAGGAUUAGAUACCCUGGUAGUCCACGCCGUAAACGAUGAUAACUAGCCGUUGGGGGGAUUUACCCUUUAGUGGCGAAGCUAACGCGUUAAGUUAUCCGCCUGGGGAGUACGGCCGCAAGGUUAAAACUCAAAGGAAUUGACGGGGACCCGCACAAGCGGUGGAGCAUGUGGUUUAAUUCGAUGCAACGCGAAGAACCUUACCUGGUCUUGACAUCCUGCGAACUUUCUAGAAAUAGAUUGGUGCCUUCGGGAACGCAGUGACAGGUGCUGCAUGGCUGUCGUCAGCUCGUGUCGUGAGAUGUUGGGUUAAGUCCCGUAACGAGCGCAACCCCUAUCCUUAUUUGCCAGCACAUUAUGGUGGGAACUAUAAGGAGACUGCCGGUGAUAAACCGGAGGAAGGCGGGGACGACGUCAAGUCAUCACGGCCCUUACGACCAGGGCUACACACGUGCUACAAUGGGAAGGACAAAGAGCCGCGAAGCCGCGAGGUGUAGCUAAUCUCAUAAACCUUUUCGUAGUCCGGAUUGGAGUCUGCAACUCGACUCCAUGAAGUCGGAAUCGCUAGUAAUCGUAGAUCAGAAUGCUACGGUGAAUACGUUCCCGGGUCUUGUACUCACCGCCCGUC
rnacentral:rRNA from 1 species